UCGCACAUCACCGUUUCAGUAGUACACGGUCACGGUUCAUAGACAUUUACUACGGUUGCCUACUCCGACUGUGGUGAGGAGACUUAAAUUUUUGACUUACGUCACAAGAGUACACAAGACCAUUUUUAAAUUUGUUGCGGUCAUCUCCAUUGUCAAAGAAGAAGAAGAUUCAACUGUACCAAGCUUACGUGAGGUCCAUGAUGCUAUACGCCGUACCAGUAUGGACUUCCACAGCCAACACCAACUGGAGAAGAUUAGAAGGCACCGAAACGUCAUGCUACAGAAUCAUCGAUGGCUCAGCAUGGCAGGACCGGGUGACAAAUGCAACCAUCCAGGAAAGGCUCCAGUACACACCACUGAGGGAGGUGGCUGAGAAAAGGACACAUUACUUCUUCCACCAGGCCACAAGAAGACUCAUUAAGACCAGGAAUAUCCUCGAGAAUAACAGGAUCCAGAUGAUAUUAAGAGAAAAACACCGUCUGAUCGACUACAUGAUCAGACGGUAGCCAGGUGGUUGCAACCGGUCAGGAAAGUAGGUAUGAAGCCAGAAAAAGUACCUACAGAAGAAGAUGUCCAGGAAACAAACAACAAGUGAAGAACCAAGCCCCAAGGAUGCAGUUCAGAGGAGGUGAUGCACAUAGCGGAACACCUAGAUGAAGAAAUGAAAUAUCUUAAGUAGAAUGAAAUGUAAAAUUUUAUUAAGGCAAUAAACGUUUUUAUUUUUA